GGCCUUUUAGCUCAGUUGGUUAGAGCGUCGUGCUAAUAACGCGAAGGUCGAGGGUUCGAUCCCCCCACGGGCCA
rnacentral:tRNA from 1 species